CCUGUAUUUGUUUCUUGCGUUUGUCUCCACUUGCACAUUAGUGUUUGGGAGAUGUUUGGGACAGUGGGCAAGCUGUGCCCUUUCUCCCCAGGCUGAGCUGGGUAGUCCAAGGAUGCUGGAGUAUCCAUGACAAAAGCAGACAGUGUGUAUGUGGAUUGGACCCCCAGGACCAUGGCCCUCGCCCAUCCAGGCAAUGUGGAAGAGCUGUAUGAGCUGCAGGAUAAGCUGGGCAGGAUCCAGGGAGGGGAGUUUUUUGACUUUGUGGCUGAGAAGGAGUCAUUGUCAGAGCCUCAAGCCUCAGACUUCCUGUUACAACUCCUAGAUGGAUUGGUUUAUAUGCAUUCCUUCAACAUCACCCACUUUGACCUCGAGGGAACGGAUGACAUCAGCUCAAGCUCUCCUUCACCCAUGGAUUAAGGUAUUGCAUUGAGAAUUUGGGUUCAUUACUUACCCUGAAAACCCCCAGCCACAUAGUGCCAACCUGAAGAGGCAUGGGGGGGUGAGACUCAUCAGUCUCCAGGCCAGAGCACUGAAGAUCUGGAUCAGUGGGCAAAGGAGGUGGUGAGCACAUGUCAGGUUGAGCUGCCUUCUGGUUAGGACAGCUAGAUGAAUCAGCACCCAUUAUGUUCUUAGCCUCUGACCAUCAAACAGGAGAAGAAUCGAGACUGCUCCUUUAUCAACAUAACUAGCUUCCGCAAGUUCAAUUCUCAGCGUAAGUGGAAGGUGAGCUACACAGACAUCUGUUUCCCAUUGUGAGUUUAGCCCCU
rnacentral:lncRNA from 1 species